GCGGCAUUGGUGAAGUGGUUAACACGCUAGUUUGUGGCACUAGUAUGCAAGGGUUCGAUUCCCUUAUGCCGCCCCA
rnacentral:tRNA from 1 species